GAUGAAGAACGCAGCGAAAUGCGAUAAGUAAUGUGAAUUGCAGAAUUCAGUGAAUCAUCGAAUCUUUGAACGCACAUUGCGCCCGCCAGUAUUCUGGCGGGCAUGCCUGUCCGAGCGUCAUUUCAACCAUCAAGCCCCGGGCUUGUGUUGGGGACCUGCGUCCGACGCAGGCCCUGAAAACCAGUGGCGGGCUCGCUGUCCACACCGAGCGUAGUAACUAACCUCGCUAUGGAGUGGCGCGGGCGCCUGCCGUAAAACCCCCAAUUUCACAAGGUUGACCUCGGAUCAGGUAGGAAUACCCGCUGAACUUAAGCAUAUCAUAAGCGGAGGA
rnacentral:misc_RNA from 1 species